rnacentral:miRNA from 1 species
GUCAGAAAAGAAUAAAAAGGGGAAGGGGAGAAAAAAAGGAGAGAAAAGGGAAAGAAGCGCUAGUUCUUAAAAAUCUACUCUCUUAUCAUUUAACUUCUCUCUGGGACAUAAAGUCUCAUUUUUAAGAACUAGCGCUUCUUUCCCUUUUCUCUCCUUUUUUUCUCCCCUUCUCCUUCUUAUUCUUUUCCCC